UUAAUUGAAACCAAAUAAGAGGUAAAUUAUUGUUAAUAAUUUCAUUGAAUAAAUAAAAUUCCAAUUAAG
rnacentral:tRNA from 1 species